AAUAAGCGCAGCCAUGAGUUUACAUACCCAAUUUUGAUCGUCUGUUUUAUUUGAAAUUUUUCUAUGAUUAGUAUUUUUAUUAUUAUUAGAUUAUAAAACAUGAAUACUACUUUAUGUGUGACUUAUGUUUUUUCGUUUUUUCAAAAACUAAAAAACAUUAUCUUUGCAUUGAAUAUCUCGCCAAAAAGGAAAAUCGCAAGGGCCAGCACCAACA
rnacentral:pre_miRNA from 1 species